GAAAUAUAGGUUGGUGCAAAAGUAAUUGUGGUUUUUGCCUUAAAAGUAAUGGCAAAAACACAACCGCUUUUGCACCAACCUAUAGUAAA
rnacentral:miRNA from 1 species